AACACAUGCGCUGUGGAAACCCAGGUAAAUGAAAGAUGAGAGUAAAGAAAAUCAAUUGAGUAUAAUAGCAUCGGCUAGAAAAUAUCUCGACGCACGUUUCGGCGUUUUAGAUACGCCUUUGUCAAGAGCUCCUAAAAAACUGACUAUCCUAAAAGAAACGGCAAAACUAACUGCUGCUUCGUGGCAGCCUAUCCAAAUCCCUAAGUCUGUAUCAG